rnacentral:rRNA from 1 species
GUCCACGCCCUAAACGGUGCACACUAGGUCUUGGAGGAUUCGACCCCUUCAGGGCCCAAGCUAACGCGUUAAGUGUGCCGCCUGAGGACUACGGCCGCAAGGCUAAAACUCAAAGGAAUUGACGGGGGCCCGCACAAGCGGUGGAGCAUGUGGCUCAAUUCGAUGCAACGCGAAGAACCUUACCAGGCCUUGACAUGCACUAGACAGACGCUGAAAGGCGUUCUCCCUUCGGGGCUGGUGCACAGGUGCUGCAUGGCUGUAGU